UUGUUGCUAUCUUUAAAUUAUUAUUAUUAUUAUCAUCAUCAUCAUCAUCAUUAUCAUUAUUGAGUUCCAACAGCUAAUAUGCUGGAAGGAGCAUAAGGUUGAUUUCAUAAAUAAUACAAUUGGAAAAAAUAGACAAUUAUGUAAGAACAGUCUUUCCUGGCAAAUACUACAAACCUUUCCUUGGCUUUGGAGAAAUUUCUUGGUUUUGUUUUUUGAGUUAGAAGAGAAGAUAAAUUGAGUUUGAUGUCAGGAGUAUUUUAGAGAAAUGAUCACACUAUCAGUGCCAAACUCCAGGAGGGGAGGACAUUGGUGGUAACCCCGGAUAGAUUGGGGAACCCUGAGCCAAGGGCCCUGGGUCUCUCUGCCCACGCUAUUGCCCAAGGGCACCUCAGGGUCCUUUGGGCUCCCCAUCUCUGGGUAGCCUGGCCGCACAGAGAUGAAGUCACUGAAGAUCGUGGGACGCCAGAAGCUCUGGGCAGUCUCGCAGAGUCCUAGCCCCUGUCUAAGUGCAGUGAGAAUACUGAAGAUUCCUGUGCCCCCUGAUAGGUUGGGGGAGGCUGAGUGGCCCACAGUGGGAAUGGGGAGAUGUGUAUAUGGACAUUUAUUUACAUUUGACAAGGUGAGUUCAUUGCCAGCAGCAGAAAUUAAAUCAACCUAUAUAAAAUUAAUGUUAUACCCUGACAGUCUGAGUUAGAGGCUUUAAGAGUUGAAUGGCUCUCCCUAAUUUAUGGGUGUAAUUGGGAUCUAAACAAACAAACAGGCAUCAUUCUGGUGUUAUGGUGAAGUGAGUGAAUGUUCCAGGCUCGUUUGGCUUUGUGACCAAACAAGUGUGACCUGUGUGACCCGGCCUUUUAUUUCAGCCUGGUUCUCCUGAUUUCUCUGGGAUUCCUGGCAUAGAAGAAGGACUGUGGUUGCUUGUGGCAGAUCCUCCUUCACCCUUCCAGGGCUCUCGGCCCUUCCACAGCUGCACCCAGAAGCCUGAACUGGCAAAUGGUAGCGAUGCCAGAGACUACCCAGGGCACCGGGGCCUGAGCCUGCCCAUGGGGAUGCUUACCCUCAUUCCUAAGAGCAGGAGUCUCUCUCCCAUCCCACAUGGCAGGGGCAUGUGCCACACAUUUUCUGUCAGCCUCCAGCUCUCCUGGGCCACAGGGAGGAGGAGCUGCCCUACACAGCACAGAGCCGCUAAGCUGAGAGGCGGCACUGCCUCUGGGGGUUGGGGUGGCUCCUCUCCGUGCCCUCCCCUGAGCUUCGCACAAGCUCUGUACAGUACAGUGGUCACCACCUUGAGCUGUGGGGGUCUUUUGGAGAUUGUAAAGGAUCACACAGGGGAGUAUGACCUUUGAGGGCACAAAGAAGUCCAGCUUUAAGAGCCUCAGGAGACUGAAAUUCAGUCCGUGUCCUGUGGCUUUGAAUUUUAAAUCUGAAAUAUAACCUGUCCAUUACCCAGCAGACCCACUGUGCUGUGAGACAGAAUGCACCCUCUGGGGAGAGUGAGGGUUGAUGCCCCUCAUCUCCGGAGGAAUGUUUCCUCAAUGGCCGGCUCCACGUGGUGAGGGACAGGAAACCCGCCUGUGGGACUUUCCCAGGUCCCAGGGGUGGAUUAUUUUGAAGGACUUACUCCCUCCUCUCUGGCCCUCAGCACCUGCCCCAGGCGACACCUGCUGAGUCUUUCUGUGUUGCAUUCACCUUCUUAAAGAAGGAGGCUGCUCUCUCCAGAUCCAGACACACAAAAGGAAGGGCUAGGAUCCUGCCCAGUGGGCAUGCAACCUUCCGAGGGUGUUGGGUGCAGUCAGCAGCCAGUUUCUUUAUCUGGGAAAAUGGGAUGAUGUGAAGCUGGAGCAAAGCAUUGUGAGAAAUAGGGUAAAGCAGCUUGUUAGGAAGGACAUACACGCUCCGCAUUAAAUGUAAUAGUGCAGGCAACCAGUGUAUAAAUGAGGAAGCAAGCGCAGUCACUAGGACAAGGAAAUGAAGUAAUGAAAUGGACAAAAUAAUUUCUGUUUGUGAAUAAUAAAAGCUAAUUUUCAUGCUUUUUCGGUGCUAGGCACUGUUUAGGCACGUCACAGGCAUGUCCUCAUUUGCCCUCACAAGAGCUCUCCAUUUCCAUCCCAGAAGACAGAGAAUUCAGGUGGUAAGGGAGGGUCCUGGCUACAUGAGAAGGAUGCCGUAGCCCAACCUCAAACUCUCAGCCUAAUGCUAAACUGCCUCAAUACACGGACAAGGGGAAAUAUAGCUCCUUUUAGCCUCAUCAUCAAACUAAAAUUCAGAGGUGACCCCAGUGGGCCAACAGGUCAACCCUGCUUUCAUUCGGUCAAUAAAGAGAGGGAGGCAGGAAAGUCUGUUUCAGGAAGCAGAUGCUACAGGGGGCAUCAGGAGGCUCUCCCAUUCCAGAAGGUCUUUUAGAGAGGCCGAGAGGCCCUUGUUUCCUUCCUCAUCUUCAGAUUUUGCCAAUCCUAGUGAUGGAUUCGUAAUUGAAGAGUGAAAAGUAGGAGCUGUGUCCAAACUACACAGGAGGGAAGAUGGUUUCUUUUAACAAGUGUCAUGCCAUGGUGCUCACUAUGUCUCAGGCACCUGCAUUCUCCUCGCCUCACCUGUCUCCAGGACUCAGGGCUUGGUCAUCUCAACUGCUGCAGUGACAGUCGCCUCUGGCAAGAUGCUGAUUUGGGCCAAUGUCGCAGGCCCAGAGUCUCUGCCUCCUGCCAGCUCUUCUGGGCAUGAAUGAACAUCACACCACAGAGUGUGGGCUCUGGCAUCCCCCGGGCAAGGGCCAUUUCAUACAACUUGGAGAUUGGCCAGGGAGGCUGGAGAUAGGUAACUAAAUUCCCUCUUCACUUUUAUCUUUGAUGACCAUCGGGUGCUAAUUUUUUUUCUACAUACCCUGGCCAGAGAUGACUUGAACUCAGGCAUACUCAUUGAGAAAUAGCUGUACCUUGUUGAGAUUUGUUAGGAAGCAGAGGGCAACAUGAUGAAGCAUCAAACUGGAUCUACUCCUCAUCCUUUCCUGACUUGCUUUUCUUUCCCUUCGUUUUACUCCCCUGGAAUAGCACAUCCUAAAGCAGUGGCCCUAAGUCCUUGCCUUAGGAUACGUUCUAGACUGGGAGUCAUGGGCUCUAGAGUUCAAAGUAAAGUUUCUUCUGAACUUUUCCUCUAGGUUAUUGUCCUAUACCUGUCUAAGGACAGACUGUCCCAGAAACUGAGCCCAGGGACUCUGACGUGGGAUGUGUCUGCUCUGGUCACAAGGGCUGAUCAUCAGUCUCUCCAUGGCAAGUUUGAUUGGGAUGGAAAAUCCAGAAUUAGAGGACCUUAACAUUGUCAAUCAUCUUUAAUUCCUUGCUACUAACCCAGUCCUGGUUCGAUGGCACCAUCUUCUCUCUUUUAUCCUUCACAAGGGGCAGAAGAAUGAAUACACUGUGCUCCAGGAUAGCACCUUUGCCAGUCAGUUUUUAUAUAAGGAUCAGGUGAGAAUAAUAAAGGUCAGAGAAACAUACGUGAGUGUGCACAGCUGUGAGCAGGGACCAGAUUUCUAACCUACGUCUACUAGCAUCAAAGCCCUGGCUUCCCCGAACCUCCUGCCAUGCUGAGACCAUGUCUUCAUCAUCCUGAGUAUUCAACAUGUUGAAUAGCACAGGGCUUGCCUCUAUUUAAUUAAAUGUUUGCUGAAUAUAUUGAGGACACUGAUAUAGAUAACUCAUUGUUUUAUGUUCUUU